GGACCCGCACAAGCAGUGGAGCAUGUGGUUUAAUUCGAUGCAACGCGAAGAACCUUACCAGGGUUUGACAUCCUGCGAAUCUCUUGGAAACGAGAGAGUGCCUUCGGGAACGCAGUGACAGGUGGUGCAUGGCUGUCGUCAGCUCGUGUCGUGAGAUGUUGGGUUAAGUCCCGCAACGAGCGCAACCCACGUCGUUAGUUGCCAGCAUUAAGUUGGGCACUCUAGCGAGACCGCCGGUGAUAAACCGGAGGAAGGUGUGGAUGACGUCAAGUCAUCAUGCCCCUUACAUCCUGGGCUACACACGUACUACAAUGCUACGGACAAAGGGCAGCAAGUUCGCGAGGACAAGCAAAUCCCAUAAACCGUGGCUCAGUUCAGAUCGUAGGCUGCAACUCGCCUACGUG
rnacentral:rRNA from 1 species